GACGAACGCUGGCGGCGUGCUUAACACAUGCAAGUCGAACGAUGAAGCCCAGCUUGCUGGGUGGAAGAGUGGCGAACGGGUGAGUAACACGUGAGUAACCUGCCCUUAACUCUGGGAUAAGCACUGGAAACGGUGUCUAAUACUGUAUACGACCUAUCACCGCGUGGGGUGUGGGUGGAGAGAUUGAUCGGUUCUGGAUGGACUCGCGGCCUAUCAGCUGGAUGGUGAGGUAAUGGCUCACCAUGGCGACGACGGGUAGCCGGCCUGAGAGGGUGACCGGCCACACUGGGACUGAGACACGGCCCAGACUCCUACGGGAGGCAGCAGUGGGGAAUAUUGCGCAAUGGGCGGAAGCCUGAUGCAGCAACGCCGCGUGGGGGAUGACGGCCUUCGGGUUGUAAACCUCUUUUAGUAGGGAAGAAGCGAAAGUGACGGUACCUGCAGAAAAAGCACCGGCUAACUACGUG
rnacentral:rRNA from 1 species